rnacentral:lncRNA from 1 species
GCCUAUGCAGUACUUCAGGAGAGCGCAAUAAGGAAGAGAAGCUUCAUCAAUGCCUUGAAGACCUUCUGUCUUAGAACCUGUAAGAUGAAGUGAAGCUACAUGGCCCAAAGGGGUAGAUUGUGACAGACACAGAGAAGAGCUUCUCAGAUCCCCGCUCAAGAGAGGACUAUCUGUCCACUUCUGAUGAGUGUGAUCAGCUGACCUUCUAGCUGUUAACUCAUUAAGAGUCACCUUAGAUUCCAAGGCAAAGUCCUUUCCUUUCCUUUCCAAGGUGGCUUUUGACCAAUGGUUUUCCAAGGUGGUGUACAGGAACCUAACCAUCUCUCCUCACAAAGGACUCCCUAAUGAGCAAUCUUUACUCUGUUGCUUAAAGUCAAGGAGACUUUAUAGAGUCAGCAUCAAGGUCUGACAACUCCUCCUAACCAAUUCCACUUGCAUCCCUCUCUUUCCAUGGUUGUUAACAAUAAACCUUUCACACACCUAACUUCUUAUUAUCUGCUUUCCAGAAAACACGGCCUGCCUCAGCCAGUCAAACUCUAUGCAUCCUCUUAUUUAAUUAAGGAAAGAUUUUCCAGAAGAUUAUAGUAAUAUAUUAUUUUAUAACUAGAUAUUUAAACAUGCAGUUAUCUAAUUUUAAUAUAGAAAUGAUAUGUGUGUAUAUACACAGAAACACACACAUAUCAAUAAUAGCUAUGAUAAAGUAAGAUAUUUUCAUCAGUCUCAUGAUAGAUUACAAUAUUGUCAACAGAGAAUAAAAAAUAUCAAAAGGAAGAUUUAUGACUGAAUAGUAAGGCUAUUCGUUUCCAACUUGCCUGGUGAAAAAGUCAUAAUUGCUUCACCUUCUGUCAACAGCUAUCUUCUAGUAAAAUAGAUUUUUAAAAAAGGAAAAAGUGUUUAUAAUUAACACCUACAAAUUGACAGAUGUACAAACUUGGAAGCCCAACAAUGACAGAAAGAAGAUGAAAUAUAUUCUGAUCUUGAGCACAAUUGCAUGAAUUGUUUCAAAUGGGAAUUUAUAAUUUCCAAUUAAUUGAAAUACAAAUUAAUUUUAAAAAUUAUUUUUAUAACAUAAUAAAAGAGUUCUUAAUGCUGAGUAUUAGAGAAUACAAAAUGUAUUUGAAAUGUGCUCUGACAAAGUACUUAUUCUUCAUAGAAAAAGAAAAUAUAAUCUCUUUGUCCUCCCAUAAUUAUGAUGGUAAUACAAUUUAUUAUGCUCUUUCCAGCACAUGCUCACAGAAAUUAUGACCGUUAUAAUUUUGUUGGGCAUUUUAUGAUCAUGUCUUCAGUGAUAUUUAUCAUUUCAUGAACAAUUGGCAGUUAAAUAGGUUCAAACAUUAACAUUUUAAUUCAUCUGCAGAUUUAUUUCAGAAAUAAGCUACACGCAAUGUGGAUUCUCUAUUAUAACUUCCCUUGAGCAACUAUAAACUUAAACAUGUAACUAUCUUUUAUGAUUUUAACUCUUCUUGAGAAUGGGCAUUUGAAAUUUUAAUAUUCCAAUAAAGAGAGAUUUCUUGAAAAUUAUAGUUCUAAAUGUUGACAUUAUCAAAAAAGUGAAUUAAAUUCGGUUUUGAACACAAGUUUAGUAAAAUUAUUUCUCGGAUAGUUAAGAAUUUUGCCCUGUGGCAUUACAAAAUGAACUAAACCAUUGUGGGUACAAAGCUGCAAGGGUCUAUAUAAAAAAGUAACUUUACCUGUGUGUUCUAUAACAUAAGAGUUUUAUAACUUCCUAGAGUUUGACAACUUCUACAUUGAAAUGUACAUUUUAAAUGAUAAUCAUCCUAAGGAUGAACUAUUUUUGUCCAUCACUGCCUAUUGAUUCAUUGUAGCUUGUAUUGAGGCCAUUUAA